CCAAGCCUGGCAAAGUGGUUGGGAGGUCACCAAGUCCUAGGGAACGCUGCCCACACCCCUCCUUCUUUCAACCAUGGCUCUCUCUUUUCCUUGCAGAGCGGGAUGCAUUGUCCAGAGUGGUGCAGGGCCCUGCAAGGAACCCUGAUGAGAACAUCUACCUGGAGUGCGAGCCAGACACAGGUGAGCCAAGCACCUCUUCAUUUCCACCUUUGGCCCUAGUUGACACCCCCAUGGUGUCUACCAGGGAGGUGGCCCCUCAAAGCGAGGGCUUGGGGACUCCUCGCCUCUACCUCUGGUUGGCAGGACUCCCAGGAAGCCCAGGCCCUGCAGCUGUCUUCAGUCCUGCCCUGUCCCGCAUGGAUGUCCCCAACCGGUGUGGCCAAGCCCCACCUGCCCUCUCUGUUUCAGUCCCUGCUUUGACUUGGACUCUGAGCUCCCAAGUUCUGAUACCUCCAGUCCCCCUGCCAAGGACAUCUGUGGUGCCCAGGAUGGGGCCUACACAGUGAGGCCCAGCUCAGGGCCUCACAGCUCCCAGCCCUUCACUCUGGCCGUGCUCCUGCGAGGCCGGGUCUUCAACAUCCCCAUCAGGCAGCUGGAUGGUGGACGCCACUAUGCUCUGGGCCGGGAGGGCCGGCACCACGAGGAGCUCUUCUCCUCCGUGGCUGCCAUGAUCCAGCACCAUGCGAAGCACCCUUUGCCCCUGGUGGACAGACAUGGUGGCAGCAGAGGACUCACCUGUCUGCUCUUCCCCACCAAGCCCUGAGGGUCACAUCAAUGACACUGCUACUAUUCUGCUCCCCGGAGGUCAGCCACCAGGAAAGACUGGUCAGGGAGGAGAAGAUCCUGGGACCCCCACAAGCUCACACUGAGUCUGACAGCGCCCCUCGAGGCUCCAUCUCCAAGGCUGAGGACCCCAGAAAAGGCAGCACCUGCCUUUUUACUAGGGUCUGUCCAGCUGCCUUGGAUGAAGAAGGUGGUUGUCUGGAAAAGCUGGCCUGCCCAGGGAAGCUGUGCCUCAGGGGAUGCCACAACCACUGUGGCAGCAAAGGGAAUUCCUUACCUUCUCCGGGG
rnacentral:lncRNA from 1 species